rnacentral:rRNA from 1 species
UACAGAGGUCUCAAGCGUUGUUCGGAUUCAUUGGGCGUAAAGGGGUGCGUAGGCGGCGCGGUAAGUCGGGUGUGAAAUCUUGGAGCUUAACUCCGAAACUGCAUUCGAUACUGCCGUGCUUGAGGACUGGAGAGGAGACUGGAAUUUACGGUGUAGCGGUGAAAUGCGUAGAUAUCGUAAGGAAGACCAGUGGCGAAGGCGGGUCUCUGGACAGUUCCUGACGCUGAGGCACGAAAGGGUCAGGGGAGCAAAACGGGG